rnacentral:rRNA from 1 species
AUUGAACGCUGGCGGCAUGCUUUACACAUGCAAGUCGAACGGUAACAGGCCGCAAGGUGCUGACGAGUGGCGAACGGGUGAGUAAUGCAUCGGAACGUGCCCAGUCGUGGGGGGUAACUACUCGAAAGAGUAGCUAAUACCGCAUACGAUCUAUGGAUGAAAGCGGGGGACCGUAAGGCCUCGCGCGAUUGGAGCGGCCGAUGUCAGAUUAGGUAGUUGGUGGGGUAAAGGCUCACCAAGCCAACGAUCUGUAGCUGGUCUGAGAGGACGGCCAGCCACACUGGGACUGAGACACGGCCCAGACUCCUACGGGAGGCAGCAGUGGGGAAUUUUGGACAAUGGGCGCAAGCCUGAUCCAGCAAUGCCGCGUGCAGGAAGAAGGCCUUCGGGUUGUAAACUGCUUUUGUACGGAACGAAACGGCUCUGGUUAAUACCCGGGGCUAAUGACGGUACCGUAAGAAUAAGCACCGGCUAACUACGUG